AUCGGGACACUCACGGUAUUGCGAUAUCGCGUUGAUAAGAAUUAGCGGUGCAGUACGCAGCGUGCGCUCCCAUGUUCACAUGCGUGGCAAUAUCUCGUAAUAUUGCUGUCUGCAUGCUUUCGCGCGUUCGGCGCCUGGUUGGUUCACUGGCCGCCAUCUUGGUUCACUGGGCGCCAUCGAGAAAACUCAGACGAGCGAGAAACUCGGGGCAUCCUGCGAAGCAUCCCCGAUAUAUGAAAUAGGUGCAACGCAAGCGAGAACUACCAGCUGGUGAAUUCUGCUGAAAGAGUUCAGUUUGUAGUUAGGAAGCCACAAAACAAAACGAAACAGUGCCGGGGAAAAGCCACCACGGCAACAUAUUGAAAUAUAUAGAUAUAACAUCAAUAUAAAGCACCGAGGGUACGAAUGAGACAAGAAACUCAUCAUGACAUUACAAUGGGGGGGGGGGGGGGGGGUAGUACACCAAACAAGUGGAACAGCACGAUUCGCGAAGUAAUAAAGUCAUUGUCGACAGGAAAAUAGUUCCGCCGUGCUUUCACCUCUUCUCUUUGCUUGCUGGGCCAAUAGAAUUGGUAGACGAAUCUUUUUUUUUUUUUAGGGACAGAGUACACGAAUGGCGGUGUUGCGUAGGGUGGCGCAUUUACAUUCGCUCGCCUGUGCAGCCGGUCGACUGCAGCGCCGCCCCCGCGGCGCCAGCGGGAACUAUAUAUCUAGGUAACUUUGCGCCCUAGGGGAGUCUAGUCCCUGCGCCAUCUAAAGCGCCUAGCGCCAUCCUUCCCCUAGCGCCGCCGCCUCCCCAGCUUUUGCAGCCUCCACGGAGCGACGGGAGCGCUGCAAGGCUAAUGGCCAUAGGGUCGCUGUCCAUCAAAAUGCUGCGCAAAACAGCCAAAAGCCAGCGCCACUCAGCUUGGAGGACAUGAAAGAUGCACAGCAAUUGUGUUGCUGAGGGCCAGACGUCACAAAGGGCAUCCUUCUCCGCCCUGGAGUUGUCAGUCAUGAAUGCUGUCGGAGCCUGCAGCAUGAUGGGUGCCUGUCCUUCAGCAGCUGAAAAGCAGCACGGUACCCCUCCCUUGUUUGGGAACUGUGCACAAGCACAGCUACAGGCACUGCUCCUGCUUUCGUGGCUGUGAGCAGCACAGUAGCCGUGCUACCAUCUGCAUCACAUGAUGAUGUUGAGUCCACGAACACAAUGUUUUGUGAUGACUCCAGGCUCUGGGCGCGCUGCAUAAUGGGCGUCACAACGAGCACUGCCCAACAGUCAUUGGAUGUGCUCGCUGAGCAGACAUCAGUGCCUGCAUAUCCACAGUGAAAAGUGUCAGCUUUUCUACAUGAAUUGUUGUGUUGCUAUUAGUUAAAAUUUCAGCAUGUGUGGUACAUGUGAAACAACUCUUGCCAUCAAGCUAUGCAGUAUGUCUCGCUAUUCUAAUGAUGGGGACCGCCUUAUUUUGGCUCGAGGAACAAAGUUUUCUUUUUAUAUGAAACUACCGAAAUGUGCAUGGAGCCUUCCUUAACAGCAACAGCCGCAUCCACUAAUCAUUUUUUAUUGAUGAUAAUACAUGGGUCAUGCCAGCCACUACAGAAGUGGAAAAUUGUACCUGGAUUGCUAGAUAGACAGCUUGGAAGGAUGCACGCAUGCUCGCCCAAGGACUCAGUUAAACAUCACCAGAGCUGGGAUAAUGUAAAACUAUUCCAAUCUGUUUUAAUUUGAACUACCAUUGGCCCUCCAUAAUAGGCGAAAUUGGCUCAAGCCCCGUCUAUGUGGGCGCAGCGGCUGCCCAUAUAGGCAGUGACCGAGCAAUUUUGACCUAUCAAGGGGGGCUAAUGGUGCAUUUGGAAUAAAAACAGAAUGAAAUAGUUUGAUAUUAUCCCUGCCUUGGUUUGCCCUAUGGAAAAGCAUUAGCAUUAAUGUUAUACAAGUGCUUCCUGACUUUGGACUUUUGGUGCUAUUCUGCAGUUCUUUUCAAAAAGAUUCUGUUGUUCGAGCAUUGCUUCUGAUGUUUAAGCCAUUCUAAAAUGCCUUGGCAAUUUUAGAGCAAAUACGACCUGCAUGCCUGCCCCAUCUGCCACCGUCUUGUGAUGUCAAGGGAAUGCUAUAAUACAACUUCCUUGUUAACAAGUUAGCAAGUAAUGUCAGAACUUUCACCACAUAGCUUUUGCCAAGUUAUGCAUAGAGAAACCACAAGUGUGUCUCACCAAAUUUUUUUCUUUUUGAAGAAAACUGCUUUGUAUUUGACGCUAGUAGGCUCUGGAAAGAGUAUCGUUUACACUAGUCUCUGCUAGAAUGAAGCUCCAUCUUUUUUCUCACAAAUGACUGCGUUCCUCUCUGAAGGUGGCAUCAAAAUGUGGCAAAUGCCUCAAGCUCCAAUACGUGAAUGUCUAUUUUUACAAAGGGCAUGUACAGGGUCGCCAAACCACGAAUUGUCCCUUCAACUUGCAGUUCACAGCACUUAGGCAAAUUCCAUAACAUUUAGAGCACUUGAUCUUGAAAGCAUCUGGUAAGACCACUUUUAAGCUUAACACAGUUUAUCCGAACAGGCCAGAACCCCAGACACCUGACCUGACAAAAGGUUGCUUGGUGAAACAAGUCACUGAGAUGUCUUAAAUGGGUCCUGAAACACUUUUUUAACUAAUCAUAGAAUGGCCUCACUAUGAAAGGGCGUUGCCUCACAAGUCUCAUGCCGCAAAAGCUUUUAAAAUCCUUCAACUAUAAGUGAAGUUACCGCACUGAUGCCCAGCUUUCAAUCUCUUCUCCACUAGUGCACUGGAAGCUACACAGUGCAGAAGCCAAGAGGGCAAAGGCCGAGCCAAAAGUUUAGUGUCGUGGCAGCAAAAGGGCUCUUUGUGGCACCUCGUGGUGGCCGCGGUAGACUACGCUACGCAGCAUACCACUGCCAUCUCGGAGGCCAUGUGCAGCAGACGCAACUACGCACAAUGCAAAGAUGAAAUAUUUUUUUUUUGUCUUUUUGAGCUUGCAGUAUUUAUCAUUUAUUUAACUCAACAUUAGCAAUUAUGUAUUACUGAGAGUGCUCUAACGAUCACAAAACCAGCCAGUGUUGGUGGGCCAACACUGGCUAAUUUUCACAUCCAGAAAUGUAGGCGUUGGGCGACUGCGGAGGAGCGGCUAAUGUGCUACAUAAGCUGUUGCCUAAGAAAAAAACCUGUGCAUGGAAAACGUUGAGCCUACAAUGUGAUGUUUUGGGUAUUUCAAUGUGCCAUUAUCUGAAAAGUAUGAACUCAAUCGCAUUUUGUUCAUAUGUUUUACUUUUGUCUGCUGUUCCUUUGCAGUAAUAAAGAUUAUAGUUCAUAUUGA